UACGUAGGGUGCAAGCGUUAAUCGGAAUUAUUGGGCGUAAAGGGUGCGCAGGCGGUAUUGUAAGUCAGAUGUGAAAGCCCCGGGCUUAACCUGGGAAUUGCGUUUGAAACUGCAAUGCUAGAGUGUGAUAGAGGAAAGUGGAAUUCCAUGUGUAGCAGUGAAAUGCGUAGAGAUGUGGAAGAACACCAAUGGCGAAGGCAGCUUUCUGGAUUAACACUGACGCUCAUGCACGAAAGCGUGGGGAGCAAACAGG
rnacentral:rRNA from 2 species